ACUCCCUGACCUGGUGGAGUGGCACUUAGUGGUGGUGCCCAUCCCCUAUCCACGAGGGAGAGAGCAACCCCUUGUUUAUCCCAGCUUGGUUUUUGUAUCGUGCCCAUGUCUGGUUCGUGCCUUGGACACAAGG